CUGAGGCUCAGUCCCAGCCAAUGAGUAGGGACCCAGGUUGUUCUCAGAUCUACCUGUCUCACCUCCCUACCUGGAGCUGUUUCUGGCUGCCGCGGCCAUCUUGCCUCUGUGAGGGGGCACCCGCCUGAGAAGGGAGCCAACCCGGGGGAGAACUAGGGCUGAGAGUUGGCGGGAGAGCAGGACUGAAUGGGUUUCACUGUGUCAGGCCCAAACUCGGCCAGGCCUCAUCUGCCCCUAGCCUUUUCAGGAGACAAUACGCUUUUGUCUUGAGUCUGGUUGAAUUGGGUUUCUAUAAUUUAUAACAGAAAGAACACUAACAGAGUAAAAAAAAUUUUUUUUUCUUUUAAUCCUGUGGUUUGCUUAUAGGCUGGUCCUGCCAGAGGGCUGGCAACAUGGACAAAGGGAGCUGCCUGGGUUCGAACUCUCGAGUUCCUUCCCUCUCACCUGUGGCCUGAGAGCUGGGUCCUACCCUUUUCCUCCCUUUCCUCCACAGCUUCCCCGUCUCAGCUCAGAUGGCCAUGCUGCAAUGAAUGGACCAUCCUUAGAGACAGUACGGACUGGAUUAAGCGAUUCCUCCCCUCCUCAGUGUUUCUUAGUUCUGAGUCCUGCUCAAAUUCCAGAAGACAGCAGCACCUGGCUCUCACAGGGACUGCCUCUCCCGCUUCUUGGAGGGGGAAGGCACCAACACCCGGACAGGGACAACGAUGCUGGAUGUGGUGGAAGAGGCCGGAUCAUGCCUCUUUCCCCACAGCCAACCCAGAAGGCAUGCGUUCCAAAGCCCCUCAUUAGGGCCUCCCAGCAGGCAAACAAACAUCAUUAAUCUUGGCAAAGAAGAAAAAUAAAGCAGGUGUCGAAGGGGCCUCCUGAAGCA
ensembl:lncRNA